AGAGUUUGAUCCUGGCUCAGAACAAACGCUGGCGGCGUGCCUAACACAUGCAAGUCGUACGAGAAAGGGCCCUUCGGGACCUGAGUAAAGUGGCGCACGGGUGAGUAACGCGUGGAUAAUCUACCCUUCAGUUGGGAACAACUCAUCGAAAGGUGGGCUAAUACCGAAUAAUACUGCGAGACUUUGGUCGAGCAGCCAAAGAGAGCCUCUGCUUGCAAGCCCUCGCUGAAGGAUGAGUCCGCGUACCAUUAGCUUGUUGGUAGGGUAAUGGCCUACCAAGGCUGCGAUGGUUAGCUGGUCUGAGAGGAUGAUCAGCCACACUGGAACUGAGACACGGUCCAGACUCCUACGGGAGGCAGCAGUGAGGAAUCUUGCGCAAUGGGGGCAACCCUGACGCAGCAACGCCGCGUGAGUGAGGAAGGUCUUCGGAUCGUAAAGCUCUGUCAGUUGGGAAGAAAUGUCUGGAAGCGAAUACCUUUCAGGCUUGACGGUACCAACAGAGGAAGCACCGGCUAACUCCGUGCCAGCAGCCGCGGUAAUACGGGGGGUGCAAGCGUUGUUCGGAAUUAUUGGGCGUAAAGAGCGUGUAGGCGGCCUGAUAUGUCAGAUGUGAAAGCCCUGGGCUUAACCCAGGAAGUGCAUUUGAAACUGUCAGGCUCGAGUAGGGGAGAGGGAAGUGGAAUUCCUGGUGUAGAGGUGAAAUUCGUAGAUAUCAGGAGGAACACCGGUGGCGAAGGCGACUUCCUGGCCCUAUACUGACGCUGAGACGCGAGAGCGUGGGUAGCAAACAGGAUUAGAUACCUUGGUAGUCCACGCCGUAAACGAUGUUCACUAGGUGUUGGGGGUAUUGACCCCCUCAGUGCCGGAGCUAACGCAUUAAGUGAACCGCCUGGGGAGUACGGUCGCAAGACUAAAACUCAAAGGAAUUGACGG
rnacentral:rRNA from 1 species